UCUCGGCGGCAGCGGCUGAGGCUGAGGCUGUUGCAGUGGUGGAAAUUGGUUGCCGGCGAUGGUGGCAGCAGGUUGCUGUGGGUUUGGGAUGAGCUUGGGAUGUUUGACGUAAAGGACGCCUUUGUCGAACCUGGCGCCGAUCUCGUUAGCUUCGUAGUUGGAGCCAAUUGGCAUCUCCUUCUUGAAACGGCUCCAUUUGUUGU
rnacentral:lncRNA from 1 species